CCGGGACAACCUUCUUCCUUCGCCCAGCCGCCACAGUGAUUGUCGUCAAGUCUGCCACAGGAGGAUAUUUUGUUCUGGGUUAACCUGCUUUUCUACCUCGCAGGUUGUUUAUCAAUAUUUGUGUAAUUUUAUUUACUCCUAGAAUUUCCGCAUGUGUUAGCAGUAAUUAUUUGAAUUUGGUCUGUAAUAUUAUAUUCAUGUUGGACCUGUAAACUUAAUAUUUUAAGUCUGUUUUGAUGGAUUGGAUGAGGGAGCUGAGCUCCCAUUUAUUAUUAUGUUGAUGAGUAUGUGGAGGGUGAGCUGAGCUCCCCAAUGGAUUGUUUAUUGUGUUUA